rnacentral:rRNA from 1 species
CCUACGGGUGGCAGCAGUGAGGAAUAUUGGUCAAUGGACGGAAGGCUGAACCAGCCAUGCCGCGUGAAGGUCAGUGCCCUAUGGGCGUUAAACUUCUUUUGUGCGGGAGCAAUAAUGGUCACGUGUGGCCAGACGAGAGUACCGUACGAAUAAGCAUAGGCUAAGUCCGUGCCAGCAGUCGCGGAAAUAAGGGGGAUGCAAGCGUUAUCCGGAUUUAUGGGGUUUAAAGGGUGAGUAGGCUGUGAGGUAAGUCAGCGGUGAAAUGCCCCCGCUCAACGGGGUGAAGUGCCAUUGAUACUGCCUUGCUGGAAUGCGGAUGCCGUGGGAGGAAUGUGUGGUGUAGCGGUGACAUGCAUAGAUAUCACACAGAACACCGAUUGCGAAGGCAUCUCACGAAUCCGCGAUUGACGCUGAUGCACGAAAGCGUGGGUAUCAAACAGGAUUAGAUACCCCUGUAGUC